rnacentral:tRNA from 1 species
CGGGGCGUAGCUCAGCCUGGCUAGAGCGCUGCGUUCGGGACGCAGAGGUCGCUAGUUCAAAUCUAGUCGCCCCGA